rnacentral:rRNA from 1 species
UCAACCAAACAUAGGAGGUCCCGCCUGCCCUGUGACAUUAUGUUUAACGGCCGCGGUAUUCUAACCGUGCAAAGGUAGCGCAAUCACUUGUCUUUUAAAUGAAGACCUGUAUGAAUGGCAUAACGAGGGCUAAACUGUCUCCUCCUUCCAGUCAAUGAAAUUGAUCUCCCCGUGCAGAAGCGGGGAUAUGUCCAUAAGACGAGAAGACCCUAUGGAGCUUAAAACGAAAGAGCAGACCAUGUUAAUACACCUUAAUCAAGAGACCAAACUAAUUGAAACCUGCUCUAGUGUUUUCGGUUGGGGCGACCACGGAGCACAAUAAAACCCCCGUGCGGAAUAAAUGUACUACAUUUUAAAUCAAGAGCAACAGCUCUAAAUAACAGAACUUCUGACCCACAAGAUCCGGCCAGACCGAUCAACGAACCAAGUUACCCUAGGGAUAACAGCGCAAUCCCCUUCUAGAGCCCACAUCGACAAGGGGGUUUACGA